UCCAGCGCCACUUCGUAUCUCCUCAUUCCCGACAUGUCCUGGGCUCCGAACGUCUCCUGGGGAGCGGCAUGAUUGAAUCAGGGAUUCCCUAGCCCCAGGUCCCCUUCUCCGUCAUGCUCAGGACGAGGCUGCCCAGUUCUCAGGGAUGCCGUCGCGCACUAGAUUUGCCUUUCCCCCGGAAGGGGUGGGGUCUGCAUGUCUCCCAGAGGAGGCGGAGUCGAAACGUCAUCUUAAGGGGUGAGGCCAGGGGAGCAGUUGGUUGUUUAAGAUGCGGGCAAAAGACCCUCUUUUAUCGGUGUGGAGUCAAGUUUUGGAGCUACACCUUGGGAGGCCGAGGCUUCCGCACCAGGCAGCAAGAAAAGAGGGUUGGGACUCAGUCCAGUGCUGUUUUCCCAAUCCCCACGUCUCCUCUACCCGUCCCUGACUUCUGCCCUGCCAAGUGCCUCUCUUGCCUGCCGAGAGAGGUCUUGUAUGACCCUGGGCUGAGAAGGAAUAGGUCCUCAGAGAGAGUCCAGUCUAGAAAAGGCCAGGCUACGGAAAUACCUGGUUGAGUGGCCUCAGCUAAGCCACUGAAUGUCCAGAGGGUCAUUGCCCUUCCUCUCUGGCCUGAGACCUAUCUUCCUGUGAUAUGUUUUUUUUCCCUACAGUCAUUCAAUCAACAGAUAUUUGCUGAAUGACCAUCUGUGUGUCAGGCACUGUGCUGGGCAUGAGAAUGUAGUAGUAAAGAAGACAGGUGACUGGGCGCGGUGGCUCACGCCUUUUAAUCCCAGCACUUUGGGAGGCCGAAGUGGGUGGAUCACAAGGUCAGGAGUUCAAGACCUGCUUGCCAAGAUGGUGAAACCCUGUCUCUACUAAAAAUACAAAAAUUAGCUGGGCAUGGUGGCAGGCAUCUGUAAUCCCAGCUACUUGGGAGGCUGAGGCAGAGAAUUGCUUGAACCUGGGAGGUGGAGGUUGCAGUGAGCUGAGAGCGUGCCACUGCAUUCCAGCGUGGGCCACAGAGCAAGACUCUGUCUCAAAAAAACCCAAAAAAACAAAAAAACUCCACAAACAACAAACAAGACAGGCACCUUCUCUGCCCUCUGAGAGGUAGGGGUAGAGCUGGGAGGAUCAAAAGAGAAUAGUCAGAUUCUUACAAUAAAUGGGGCAGACUGGCGGGAAGAAGUAGAACGUGCCAAGAAAGGGCAAUUAACCCAGUGUGGGAGGUUGGAAAUAGCUGCCCCAGACCUCUAACAUCCCAGUCAAGGCCUGAUACUGAGCCGUAGUUGGUUUGAGUAAGGGGAAAGACAGUCUUGGGGCUAGGCCGACUGUAUAGGAGGGAGUGACCAGAAAUAAGUGGGGUGAAAGUUUCCUCUGGUUGAAAUGUGAGGAAUGGAUACCUGUCUUCUCUCACCCAUGUCACCCUCUUUCUCCCUCUCAUACUUGACUUCCCCUACCUGAGCCACAUACAGAUAGCAAGACAGAUUCAUAGGUGCUAGGUGGUUUUAUUGGAAGCACUGCAGUCUGGGAGUUGUGAAUCUGUGCUUUUCACAACGUUCACCCUUUCACUCACAUUCACACUCACGUUGACACUCCAGGCCUGGCUGGGUCAGGUCUGGUGCCGAGGAACUAGAGGCCUGGUCUUCUCUUCUGGUCCUUUGUUUCCCAGGCCAGGGCUCUCUCUGGCACUCCCAUGGCCUAACUGCUGUGGCUCUUGCUCUGGGAAAGGAAGGAGAGAAAGGGCCAUGGGCUGUAAUCUUAGGUGGGGCUCAGAGGGGGCAGACAGGACUGGGGAGGGCCAGGCUUGCCUUGGCAGAGGUCUUCUGCAGUCUCCAGAUAGUACAAUCCAUCCAGGGCUGGUCUAGAGGCUGCCUCUCAGUGUGGUGAAUUUAGAGUCAGAGAGAAUGGAGCCAUAGAACUCAUCUUCCUGAAAGGCCCUGGUGUGAGGGGCAGAUGCUGGGGACCACAUCUGGGAACCUGUUUUAGGGGAUUCCUUGUGGGAGGGAUUGGGCAAGGAGAAGUGAAGGAAGUAAGAUGGUGAAUGGAGACCUGGAUGAUGGAGGAAGUGAUUGGGAGGGGAGGAGACUGGACAUUCUCCACCCCAACUCAUAGGACAAAGUGCCCUGCAGCCAUCCCUGAAGAGGAGGUAGCAGAAGGCACCAAAAAUGUCCCCAGGAAUUGGGUGUUGAUUUGGUAAGAGGCAGAGUCCUCAGAAUUGUUGAUAUCACCCAGAGCUAGGGAGUGAGUAUUAGCUUUAGGGCUUAAGAUGGGAAGGCCACAGCCCUGACUGGAACUUGGGAUAUCUGUGUCCAGAGCUUUAGUGUUGCUCUCUACUCCACCCACAUGCACUGUUCUCUUCUUCCUCUGGGAAGACCAGGCUAGAGAGACAGAGCCUAUAAAGAGAAGAGCAGCCAGAUGGCUCCAGGACCCAUCCAGGCACUGAUGUAUACAGGAACAGCUGGGGUACAGGUACAUCUAUAUCACACAGGUGCACACAAAGGCAUACCCACACCACACAGGCACACACAUAGACUGCAAAGGAAUACACACAAUGCACAGGUAUACCCAUGUCACACAGGAUGUACAGUCAUCACAAGGGCACAUCCAUUUGGCAUAUGUACAGUCUCAGGUUCCUACUUGGACCUGGAUGUUGACAUUGUGAAAGGAGAAUGAAUCUCAGGACCCCCAAAUCAUUAAGCCAAGGAGAAAGUCAAGCUAGGAAUUGUGUCAGGCAAACCUGCCUCUCAUUUUAUUCCUAAGAGAGAUAACUACAAAGAUAAAAAAAACUACUUACCUCCCUCACAAUUGGUCCACAGGGAAAUUCCUUGUGGGCCUCAAGAUCUUUACCUUAAGACAGUUGUGUUGAAUUUCACCCUGACAAUGUAAACUGAUAGCUUAUCUUCACAGGUGCAGUACAAUGGACAGAUCGCAAAGUCAUCCCUCUGCUCACCUGAGACAAAUGCAUAUCUAAUUGCUUCUUAUGCCCUAUUGUUUAUGCAAAAAUGCAGAUUCACUGAGCCAGACUAAGGCAUCAGUGUGACUAUUCCUUUACUCCCCACUCCAUGUAAAUUGUGUGUUCAGUGAAAGAUUGAUCAAAGACCCAAAAGAAUGCAGCCUUUUGUCUCUUAUCUACCUAUGACCUGGAAGCCACCACUUCGAGUUGUCCCGCCUUUCCAGACUGAACCAGUGUAACACCUUACAGGUAUUGAUUGAUGUCUCAUGUCGCCGCAAAAUGUAUAAAACCAAGCUGUGCCCCGACCACCCUUAGCAUGUGUUGUUAGAACCUCCUGAGACUGUGUCAUCUCAUGAGUGUGUGCUCAACCUUGGCAAAAUAAACUUUCUAAAUUGAUUGA